UACGUAGGGUGCAAGCGUUGUCCGGAAUUAUUGGGCGUAAAGAGCUCGUAGGUGGCCUGUCGCGUCGGCUGUGAAAACUCGGGGCUCAACUCCGAGCUUGCAGUCGAUACGGGCAGGCUAGAGUUCGGCAGGGGAGACUGGAAUUCCGGGUGGAGUGGUGAAAUGCGUAGAGAUCCGGAGGAACACCAAAGGCGAAGGCAGUGUCCUGGGGAGUACCUGACGCUCAGGUGCGAAAGCCAGGGGAGCGAACGGG
rnacentral:rRNA from 1 species